ACCUGCAUCGAAAGUGAUUUUGGUCUUGUUUGUGGCCGAAUCAUUGAUAGUGCAGGAAAAGAAUUCUUGACAGCAUUUCCCGUGUUUGGAGGGCCACUCAUCCCUAUCAAACCCUGAGCUUUUCAGACA
ensembl:snoRNA SNORA71 Small nucleolar RNA SNORA71